rnacentral:lncRNA from 1 species
GUGCAAACUUCAGUCUUGGCAACCCCAAAGGCAUUGCUAUCACUUGUGUGCUUUCAGUUUGCUUUUUGCCAGCAUCCUGGAGGCAGGUACAGGAGAAACACGUGUUGAGCUGUGCCUCUCCUGCCUCUUUCAGCACCCCCUGCUCUGACGUGGACUGUACCUGCUGAGAGCAAGGCAGCGCCCGAAAAACAUCAGGGAAUCAGGUUACAUGAGAUCCUUCCAGCUUCGGGUGAUUAACUCACUCCAUUUCAUAGAACUGGGACGCUUUUGAAGAAAACCCAAUGGAAUACACACACACAAGUCACUGGCAAUCAAGGAAAGCUACACACGGGAAGAAUACAAGAAAAGGAGCAAAUCCAACAAGAAAAAGAAGCGUUCAAACAUGACUGAAGUGGUUUAGAGUGUUGCCCAAGUCCAGUGUUGGAAACACCUCUGGAAGAGGUAUCCCUGGGAGCUGGUCACCUGAAGACAGUGAAAAAACGGAUGUGAGAAAGGAAGGACCUGGUCAUCCAUCAGAUGGAAUCCAGACGUGACAAUUA